rnacentral:rRNA from 1 species
UCUUGACAUCCAGAGAACUUUUUAGAGAUUGAAGGGUGCCUUCGGGAACUCUGUGACAGGUGCUGCAUGGCUGUCGUCAGCUCGUGUUGUGAAAUGUUGGGUUAAGUCCCGCAACGAGCGCAACCCUUAUCCUUGUUUGCCAGCACUUCGGGUGGGAACUCCAGGGAGACUGCCGGUGAUAAACCGGAGGAAGGUGGGGACGACGUCAAGUCAUCAUGGCCCUUACGAGUAGGGCUACACACGUGCUACAAUGGCAUAUACAGAGGGCUGCCAACUCGCGAGAGUGAGCGAAUCCCAUAAAGUAUGUCGUAGUCCGGAUUGGAGUCUGCAACUCGACUCCAUGAAGUCGGAAUCGCUAGUAAUCGUGGAUCAGAAUGCCACGGUGAAUACGUUCCCGGGCCUUGAACACACCGCCCGUC